rnacentral:rRNA from 1 species
UCCGCAAUGGACGAAAGUCUGACGGAGCAACGCCGCGUGAGUGAUGAAGGUUUUCGGAUCGUAAAGCUCUGUUGUUAGGGAAGAACAAGUGCGAGAGUAACUGCUCGCACCUUGACGGUACCUAACCAGAAAGCCACGGCUAACUACGUGCCAGCAGCCGCGGUAAUACGUAGGUGGCAAGCGUUGUCCGGAAUUAUUGGGCGUAAAGGGCUCGCAGGCGGUUUCUUAAGUCUGAUGUGAAAGCCCCCGGCUCAACCGGGGAGGGUCAUUGGAAACUGGGAAACUUGAGUGCAGAAGAGGAGAGUGGAAUUCCACGUGUAGCGGUGAAAUGCGUAGAGAUGUGGAGGAACACCAGUGGCGAAGGCGACUCUCUGGUCUGUAACUGACGCUGAGGAGCGAAAGCGUGGGGAGCGAACAGGAUUAGAUACCCUGGUAGUCCACGCCGUAAACGAUGAGUGCUAAGUGUUAGGGGGUUUCCGCCCCUUAGUGCUGCAGCUAACGCAUUAAGCACUCCGCCUGGGGAGUACGGUCGCAAGACUGAAACUCAAAGGAAUUGACGGGGGCCCGCACAAGCGGUGGAGCAUGUGGUUUAAUUCGAAGCAACGCGAAGAACCUUACCAGGUCUUGACAUCCUCUGACAACCCUAGAGAUAGGGCUUUCCCUUCGGGGACAGAGUGACAGGUGGUGCAUGGUUGUCGUCAGCUCGUGUCGUGAGAUGUUGGGUUAAGUCCCGCAACGAGCGCAACCCUUGAUCUUAGUUGCCAGCAUUUAGUUGGGCACUCUAAGGUGACUGCCGGUGACAAACCGGAGGAAGGUGGGGAUGACGUCAAAUCAUCAUGCCCCUUAUGACCUGGGCUACACACGUGCUACAAUGGACAGAACAAAGGG